rnacentral:rRNA from 1 species
UACGUAGGUGGCAAGCGUUGUCCGGAUUUAUUGGGUUUAAAGGGUGCGUAGGCGGCUUUGUAAGUCAGUGGUGAAAUAUGGCAGCUCGACUGUCAGGGUGCCAUUGAUACUGCGGAGCUUGAGUACAGAUGAGGUAGGCGGAAUUGACGGUGUAGCGGUGAAAUGCUUAGAUAUCGUCAAGAACACCGAUAGCGAAGGCAGCUUACUGGGCUGUAACUGACGCUGAGGCACGAAAGUGUGGGGAUCAAACAGG